rnacentral:rRNA from 1 species
GAGUUCUACCCAGGGGCCGAAGCCUCCCGGUGGAUGGCUCGGCUCGGGCACCGAAGAAGGGCGCGGCAAGCAGCGAAAUGCUCGGGUGAGGCGCAAGCAGCCGUUGACCCCGAGGUCCCCUAAUGGGAUAUCCUGCCGGGUUUCCGGCGCUCCCGGUUUAUAACUGGGAGUGGGAACCCCCCGAACGGAAACAUCUUAGUAGGGGGAGGAAAAGAAAUCAAUUGAGAUCCCCUGAGUAGGGGCGACCGAAAGGGGGACAGCCCAAACUAAACCUGCCGAUGAUAAGUCGGUGGGGAUGUGGUGUUACGACCUCUAGCCUGAGGUUCGACCUCGGCUUUCCUAACCUAUCUAGCCGAACUCCCCUGGAACGGGGGCCCAUAGAGGGUGAAAGCCCCGUAGGCUAAAGAUAGGUGGAAAGUGGCUAGAGGUAGAGUACCAUCCCCUGGUUUGGGGGUGGGAAGUUAGGGGACACGUGCCUCUAAGGCUAAAUAUGUCCCGAGACCGAUAGCAAACUAAGUACCGUGAGGGAAAGCUGAAAAGAACCCCGGAAGGGGGAGUGCAAAGAGCCUGAAACCGGGUGGUUAUACAGGGUGUGGCUCGAAAGAAGUGAACCCUUCCGAAGGAAAGGGCGCAAGCCCUUAGUACGAGGAAGGGCGAUCGGGGUCACGCCUUUCGUCUUGAAACACGGGCCGGGGAGUUCACAUCAGUGGCGAGCUUAAGGAGAUUAUCUCCGAAGGCAUAGGGAAACCAAGUGCCCGCAGCCUAGUUUCUAGGCGAGGGGCAGGGUCUGUCAGGGCCUGAAGCCACUGAUGUGAGGCUAGAAACCGGGCGAUCUAGUCCGGGGCAGGCUGAAGGUGGGGGAAACCCCACUGGAGGGCCGAAUAGGGGUUCUGACGUGCAAUUCGUUCCCUUGACCUCGGACUAGGGGCAAAAGACCAAUCUAGCCCGGUGAUAGCUAGUUCCCCCCGAAAUGCGUCCUAGCGCAGCCUCCCUAAAGGCAGCUCGCGGGGUAGAGUGACAGAUCGGGGGCUCCAGGCGAAAGCCUGGGGCUUCCGGUCUAACUCCGAACCCACGAGCGCCGAAGAAGGGGGGAGUGGGUCACUCGGCGUAAGGUUGGGUGGCAAAAGGGGAACAACCCAGACCUGGGUUAAGGCCCCAAAGUCCCGGCUAAGUGCCAACGAAAAGGCGUCUCCAGCCUUAGACAGCGGGAAGGUGGGCCCAGCAGCAGCCAUCCUCUAAGGAGUGCGUAACAGCUCACCCGCCGAGGCUGGAGGCCCUAAAGAUUGGUCGGGGCUCAAGCCGGGCGCCGAGACCCAGGAGGGGGUCUCUACUAGAGAUCCUCUGGUAGGGGGGCGCUGUGAUGGGGUAGAAGGUGGGUCGUGAGAUCCACUGGACCCGUCACAGGUGCAGAUCCCGGCGGUAGUAACAGCGAAGGGGGGUGAGAAUCCCCCUCGCCGGAAGGGCAAGGGAUUCCCGGCAACGUUCGUCAGCCGGGAGUUAGCCGGUCCUAAGGUAGGGCCUAAUAGGUACCUACCGAAAGGGAAAGGGGUUAACAUUCCCCUGCCUCCCGGGUAGGUGCGGUAACGCAAGCCAGACUCCUGACGGAUUGGGGUAGGGAGAGUAGGACCACCGUCCUACCCAAGCACUCAAGCCCUUGGAGAGCCGUAACGGUGAGAAGAGGGCGAAGGUGUGAUGGGCCUUCCGUUAGGAGGGUUCUCCUGAUCCCUAGUCCCCAUGAAAAGGGAGUCUGGAACGAUCCCGGGAGACCGUACCUAGAACCGACACUGGUGCCCCUGGGUGAGAAGCCCAAGGCGUCUGAGGGGUAACCCAGGCUAGGGAACUCGGCAAAUUAACCCCGUAACUUCGGGAGAAGGGGUGCCUAUCGUGGUUUAACAAAGCCACGAUAGGUCGCAGUGACCAGAGGGACCUGACUGUUUAAUAAAAACAUAGGUCCCCGCUAGCCCGAAAGGGUGUGUACGGGGGCUAAAUCCUGGCCACUGGUGGUUGGUUAAAUCCGGGUUCAACCGGGCGAAGCCCCACCGAAGGCCGGGGGUAACUCUGACCCUCUUAAGGUAGCCAAAUGCCUUGCCGGGUAAGUUCCGGCGCGCAUGAAUGGAUCAACGCGGUCCCUACUGUCCCAGCCUGGGGCCUCGUGAACGCCCUGAGCCGGUGCACAGUCCGGCAUCUCCCUACACCGAGAGAAGACCCCGUGGAGCUUCACCGCAGCCUGGCGUUGUCCCUCGGGCGUUUAUGCGUAGAGUAGGUGGGAGGGGUCGAACCGUCCUUUCGGGGGCAGGGGACCCGAAAGUGAAACACCACCCAUGGACGCUCGAGGGACUAACCUCUCGAAAGAGAGGAACAACGUCAGGUGGGCGGUUCGGCUGGGGCGGCACUCCCGCGAAAAGAUAACACGGGAGCCCAAAGGUCGGCUCAGGCGGUACAGAACGCCGCCGUAGAGCGCAAGGGCAAAAGCCGGCCUGACGUGACCCUUCCAAGUACGGGGUCACGACGCGAAAGCGGGGCCUAGCGAACGCUCGUGCCCCCACACGUGGGGGCCGGGCAUGACAGAAAAGUUACCCCGGGGAUAACAGGGUCGUCGCGGGCGAGAGCUCACAUCGACCCCGCGGUUUGCUACAUCGAUGUCGGCUCUUCCCACCCUGGAGGUGCAGCUGCCUCCAAGGGUAGGGCUGCCCGCCCGUUAAAGGGGAGCGUGAGCUGGGUUUAGACCGUCGCGAGACAGGUCGGACUCUAAGGGUAGGGAGCUGCGGACCGCUUGAGGGGAAGGAACCCCUAGUACGAGAGGAACAGGGUUCCGGGGCCUCCAGUUUACCGGUUGUCCGGUAGGGCAAUGCCGGGCAGCCGCGCCCUGAGGGGUAACCGCUGAAAGCAUCUAAGCGGGAACCCCUCCCCUAAAAGAGGCGGUCAGGCGUUAGCCGGGGCCUUCCCCUAGAAGAGGGGGUUGAUGGGGUGGGGAUGUAAGCUCCAAGGUUGUAAGACCGAGGAGUUUAGUCCGCCACUCCCAAUCAGGCUCCCCCCUGGU